AGGUUGUGGUCAAGGGUCCAGUAGUGCAUGGCUAUGGAAUUAGCCUGCUGUGCCUUUCAUGUGACUUCUUGUCUUUUAAAUUCCCAAAGAGAUUUAGCCAGCCAGCCAGGGGAGGAAACAUACUGGAUGUUAACUAACAAACCUGAAUUCCAGAACUCUACUGACCUCCAGAAAUCUUACAGACAUCAAAAGGAGAGGCAAGUGCCUUUAGCAAUGAGGCCUAUCAAAUGAUUGUAGGAACCCGAUCGUGAGAAAUUUUUGGCUCAGGUCCCUCAACCUGCAUUACCUCCAUAGCUGACCCACGCUUCAGCAGAAAUCUGUCCCAACGUACCAUCAUGGACUGUUCCAAGAGGAAGCGUUUCCAUGAUGAACUUAUGAUUGAAGUUCUGGAGAGGCCCCACAAGCAGGUCCAGUUCCAAAGUCAGAGGGACUUGCGGCCAGAGGAAAGUCAUGAUGAGAGCCAAGAAGAAAGGCUCAGGCUGGCUCCACAGCUUGAGGACAGGGUUUCAACAUGGGAGCAGGCACUUGCUUCACAGUUCCUGGAACAGGAAUGGCAGCUAAGAGAGGAGGACAGAGCUCAACAGAAAGAGCUGUUUGGCUCGUAUCAGUAAUGACUGUAAGAUUAGUGGCUCCUGCUGCAUCACCCAUUCAUCAUUUGAGUCCCCUGCAUGCUACCUUGUGCUGCAGUCCAGAGGCAGCUUGGAAGACUCCAUGGCUGGGUGGCUCAUGCAAUCGGAGUCCAUGAGUAGCUGGGCAGGACAACUUUGCCCCAUACAGCCCUCCAUAUUAACUUCCUCCUCUGGCACCCCAGGCACCCUCAGGCUAUGUCUA